CGUAAACUAGGUAUUGUGUGCGUAUUUGUACAAUGCUCGUUGUCACCUUGGCGAGAAAGACGAACUGCCACCGAUAAUGUGAUGAUGAGGCGGCGGGAAUGAGAGACGCAGAUGUGAUGAGCUUGUGGUGAAAACGAACAAGCGAGUGAACUGAUUGAAAUGCUUGUGGCGAAGAAGAGGCCCACAGCCUCCGAGCCAUAGAGGUUACGGAGAUAAAGAUAGAACUUGACACAAUGGAGGAAGGGGAAUUAAACCAGACGGAACAGUGACGACUUGUUCCAACGAUCGGAAUGAUGCUGAGGACAUUCUCCCCAGCUUUUAUAUCCGAACGAUCUCAACCCCAAAACAACCCCCUGUGAAUU